GCAAAAAAGGGAAGAUUAACAGCAACAAGAGAUCCAGCAAGUAAAGUUUUCACUUCCUACAGGACGGAUGGUGGCGAGGAGCGAAGUUCUUGCUGACUCCUAACACCGAGCAGCUCCAGCGUGGGAGGUGGCCACUCUGUUUAUCCUGUAAAGCGCUGGAUAAUUGUUAAAAAUGGCGAAACGGUUUAAAGGGGAGCGCUCCUUGACCUGCAGGGGGCGGGAUGUGAAGCGCCUCAACAACAUUUAAAGAGACGGCACCAAAACGAGUUGGUCUCAGAGUACCUCAGAACAAGGGGUAAAAGAGGAACCUGUGGAGCUACAAUAAGAAGGAAUUCAUACCAAAGCAUUGCGGUUCCACUUUAUAUAGAUCAGAACUGAAUGAUUUAAGGGUGUAAGGGGAGGCAUUUAAAAGCAUGAUAUCUGCCUUUUAAUUUUUAUGAUUAUGGAUUACAGUUUUUCAGACAAUUACAUUAAGACCAAAUAAAUAAAAAAAAUGGAUGUACAAAUGUCAGUCUACUCAAAAGUAUGCCCAUAUACUGUACUGUAUAAACACGUAAUACUUGGUACUCCUUUUGCAUGUAUUACUGCAUCAAUGUUGCGUUGCAGGAAGCAAUCAAUCUGUAGCGGUGAGAUGUUCCUGAGCCCAGGUUGCUUUAAUAGUGGCCGCAGUUCAUCUGCAUUAUUGGGUGUGGUUUGUAUUGUCUUCACCUCAACACAUGAUAGAUUCUCUGUGGAGUUUAGAUUCGGAGAGUUUGCUUGCAGUAGCGGUGGUUGGCCAAUAGAGGGCGCAGGGGCGCCGCCCCACACAUUGAAAGAGAAAAAACAAUUUAUUAAAUAAUCUAAUAAAAAUAUUUCUAAAUAA